rnacentral:rRNA from 1 species
ACGGGUGAGUAACGCGUGGGAACGUGCCUUCUGGUCUGGAAUAACCCUGGGAAACUAGGGCUAAUACCGGAUACGCCCUUUUGGGGAAAGGUUUACUGCCGGAAGAUCGGCCCGCGUCUGAUUAGCUAGUUGGUGGGGUAACGGCCUACCAAGGCGACGAUCAGUAGCUGGUCUGAGAGGAUGAUCAGCCACACUGGGACUGAGACACGGCCCAGACUCCUACGGGAGGCAGCAGUGGGGAAUAUUGGACAAUGGGCGCAAGCCUGAUCCAGCCAUGCCGCGUGAGUGAUGAAGGCCUUAGGGUUGUAAGCUCUUUUAUCCGGGACGAUAAUGACGGUACCGGAGGAAUAAGCCCCGGCUAACUUCGUGCCAGCAGCCGCGGUAAUACGAAGGGGGCUAGCGUUGCUCGGAAUCACUGGGCGUAAAGGGCGCGUAGGCGGCGUUUUAAGUCGGGGGUGAAAGCCUGUGGCUCAACCACAGAAUGGCCUUCGAUACUGGGACGCUUGAGUAUGGUAGAGGUUGGUGGAACUGCGAGUGUAGAGGUGAAAUUCGUAGA